UUUGAUGGUCUCAAUUAUUUGUACAUGGAUACCGUGGCAAUUCUAGAGCUAAUACAUGCAAAAGGACCUGACUCUCUCAAGGGAAGGGUCGUAUUUAUUAGGUAGAGAACCAACACGAGGGUCACACCUCGUAGUUAUGGUGAUUCAUGAUAACUGCAUUAUUUUCUAUAUAAUCGUGCGGAUCGCAUGGCCUUGCACCGGCGACGCAUCAUUCAAAUUUCUGCCCUAUCAACUUUCGAUGGUAGGGUCGUGGCCUACCAUGGUGAUCACGGGUAACGGAGAAUUGGGGUUCGAUUCCGGAGACGGAGCCUGAGAGAUGGCUACGACUUCUAAGGAAGGCAGCAGGCGCGCAAAUUACCCAAUCCCAAUACGGGGAGGUAGUGACAAUAAAUACCAAUACGGGACAACAUAAUGUCUUGUAAUUGGAAUGAGCGCAGUGUAAACGACUCAGCGAGAAGCAAUUAGAGGGCAAGU
rnacentral:rRNA from 1 species